rnacentral:rRNA from 1 species
UACGGAGGGUGCAAGCGUUAAUCGGAAUCACUGGGCGUAAAGCGCACGUAGGCGGUCUGGUAAGUCAGAGGUGAAAGCCCACAGCCCAACUGUGGAACUGCCUUUGAUACUGCCAGACUUGAGUAAUGGAGGGGGAACCGGAAUUCUCGGUGUAGCAGUGAAAUGCGUAGAUAUCGAGAGGAACACUCGUGGCGAAGGCGGCCACCUGGACGGUAACUGACGCUGAGGUGCGAAAGCGUGGGUAGCAA